rnacentral:rRNA from 10 species
GUGAGACAGGUGCUGCAUGGCUGUCGUCAGCUCGUGUUGUGAAAUGUUGGGUUAAGUCCCGCAACGAGCGCAACCCUUAUCCUUUGUUGCCAGCGAUUAGGUCGGGAACUCAAAGGAGACUGCCAGUGAUAAACUGGAGGAAGGUGGGGAUGACGUCAAGUCAUCAUGGCCCUUACGACCAGGGCUACACACGUGCUACAAUGGCGCAUACAAAGAGAAGCGACCUCGCGAGAGCAAGCGGACCUCAUAAAGUGCGUCGUAGUCCGGAUUGGAGUCUGCAACUCGACUCCAUGAAGUCGGAAUCGCUAGUAAUCGUGGAUCAGAAUGCCACGGUGAAUACGUUCCCGGGCCUUGUACACACCGCCCGUCACACCAUGGGAGUGGGUUGCAAAAGAAGUAGGUAGCUUAACCUUCGGGAGGGCGCUUACCACUUUGUGAUUCAUGACUGGGGUGAAGUCGUAACAAGGUAACCGUAGGGGAACCUGCGGUUGGAUCACCUCCUUACCUUAAAGAA